rnacentral:lncRNA from 1 species
UUAAACACUGUAUGUACAGGAGCAUGUAACACAUUCAGCAGUUAGAAGCAGAAAGUUGCAACCCUAUCUUGAAACCUUCACACAACUCAUACUAUAUAACAUACUGUCAUCGUGCUUACCAAAAAAAAGAAAAUGCUAUCAUAGUGCAAUCAAAUAUGUAAUAGGUAAAAUACAAAGCUUGGCCCUUAAAAUUAUCAACAUCAAUUACUAGACCUAGACACAGGCUUAACUAUACCAACGACCAAAUAGACACAUCGAAAUAUGUAUCUCCACACUUAAACAUGAGUGCAUGAAACCCUUAAAUUUUUAUUCAAAAUUUCUACGGGCCUCACAUUUGCACCCUCUUUUUCACACUACUCCUUCCAAUUCCAACGGCCACCCGUCAAGGCAAACAGCUGCAAAUAUCUGCAGAAUAUUGAGGAAAAAUUAAAACCUCCAAGAGAAAAAUAUAUCAUUCUAUUUUAACCCUAAAAGAAUAGCAACGAAAGCGUUGGAAUAUUACAACAGAACCCUCUUAUCACCAACAUUGUGCUAAGGUUUUGGAUUUUGAGAUAUUUCCAUGCUUCCAAGAUCAAUGUGAAAAUAGUUUUUAGAUAGCAGCACAUUUUUAUUUGAUCAGUCAUAAACUUGCAGUCAGGACUCAGUUGUACCAACUUUUUAAAGUUGGCCUUAAUUAGAUAGCACAUGUAGCAAAGCAAAUGGAGUACACUCAACAAAUGAAAUGAUAUACUACUGUCCUUUGAGUUGUUAAAUCUCUUAAGAGGAGAAGAAAAGAGAAAGUGCCUUUGGGAGAUGGAUGGGUGGAGAAGAAAAUAUAAUAGAGAAGGAGACGAUUGGUCUCAGAGAUACA